GGACCCGCACAAGCAGCGGAGCAUGUGGUUUAAUUCGAAGCAACGCGAAGAACCUUACCAGGGCUUGACAUCCUCCUGACAGGUUGGUAAAACGACCCUUCUUCGGACAGGAGAGACAGGUGGUGCAUGGUUGUCGUCAGCUCGUGUCGUGAGAUGUUGGGUUAAGUCCCGCAACGAGCGCAACCCUUGCCGUUAGUUGCCAUCGGGUCAAGCCGGGCACUCUAACGGGACUGCCGGGGACAACUCGGAGGAAGGUGGGGAUGACGUCAAAUCAUCAUGCCCCUUAUGUUCUGGGUCUACACACGUGCUACAAUGGCCGGUACAAUGGGAAGCGAUACGGCGACGUGGAGCAAAUCACCAAAACCGGUCCCAGUUCGGAUUGCAGGCUGAAACCCGCCUGCAUGAAGUCGGAGUUGCUAGUAAUCGUGAAUCAGAAUGUCA
rnacentral:rRNA from 1 species